rnacentral:rRNA from 1 species
AUUGAACGCUGGCGGCAGGCCUAACACAUGCAAGUCGAGCGGAUGAAGGGAGCUUGCUCCUGGAUUCAGCGGCGGACGGGUGAGUAAUGCCUAGGAAUCUGCCUGGUAGUGGGGGAUAACGUCCGGAAACGGGCGCUAAUACCGCAUACGUCCUGAGGGAGAAAGUGGGGGAUCUUCGGACCUCACGCUAUCAGAUGAGCCUAGGUCGGAUUAGCUAGUUGGUGGGGUAAAGGCCUACCAAGGCGACGAUCCGUAACUGGUCUGAGAGGAUGAUCAGUCACACUGGAACUGAGACACGGUCCAGACUCCUACGGGAGGCAGCAGUGGGGAAUAUUGGACAAUGGGCGAAAGCCUGAUCCAGCCAUGCCGCGUGUGUGAAGAAGGUCUUCGGAUUGUAAAGUACUUUAAGUUGGGAGGAGGGGCAGUAAGUUAAUACCUUGCUGUUUUGACGUUACCAACAGAAUAAGCACCGGCUAACUUCGUG